rnacentral:rRNA from 1 species
AGAGCGAACGCUGGCGGCAGGCCUAACACAUGCAAGUCGAGCGCCCCGCAAGGGGAGCGGCAGACGGGAGAGUAACACGUGGGAACGUGCCCUUUGGUUCGGAACAACACAGGGAAACUUGUGCUAAUACCGGAUAAGUCCGUAAGGAGAAAGAUUUAUCGCCAAAGGAUCGGCCCGCGUCUGAUUAGCUAGUUGGUGAGGUAACGGCUCACCAAGGCGACGAUCAGUAGCUGGUCUGAGAGGAUGAUCAGCCUCACUGGGACUGAGACACGGCCCAGACUCCUACGGGAGGCAGCAGUGGGGAAUAUUGGACAAUGGGCGCAAGCCUGAUCCAGCCAUGCCGCGUGGAUGAUGAAGGCCCUAGGGUUGUAAAGUCCUUUCGACGGGGAAGAUAAUGACGGUACCGUAGAAGAAGCCCGGCUAACUUCGCGCCAGCAGCCGC